UACGUAGGGGGCAAGCGUUGUCCGGAUUUAUUGGGCGUAAAGAGCGUGUAGGCGGCCGUACAGGUCAGCUGUGAAAACUCGAGGCUCAACCUCGAGACGUCGGUUGAAACCGUAAGGCUAGAGUCCGGAAGAGGAGAGUGGAAUUCCCGGUGUAGCGGUGAAAUGCGCAGAUAUCGGGAAGAACACCCGUGGCGAAGGCGGCUCUCUGGGACGGUACUGACGCUGAGACGCGAAAGCGUGGGGAGCGAACAGG
rnacentral:rRNA from 1 species